CAUCCAUAUCUUUCUGACAGUUAAUUCGUAAAAUCGUUGAACCAUUAAACGUUAAGAUCUCAUUAAUAUGUGUAACACUGUUAUAAGGUUGCAUGUUUAAAUUUUAGAUAUAUUAAUGUGCGUACAAUACAACAUUACUUUUUAACUAUUUGGUGCUUUUUUUAGUAGAGAUCUUUAUUUUAAAUAAUAAAUCUUACAAAAUCUUUAAACAGACUUACUAAGAAGGGA
rnacentral:lncRNA from 1 species